AUAUUGGUCAAUGGAUGCAAGUCUGAACCAGCCAUGCCGCGUGCAGGAAGAAGGCCCUAUGGGUUGUAAACUGCUUUUGCCAGGGGAUAAAAAGUCCUUGCGAGGAUAAUUGAAGGUACCUGGUGAAUAAGCCACGGCUAACUACGUGCCAGCAGCCGCGGUAAUACGUAGGUGGCAAGCGUUGUCCGGAUUCAUUGGGCUUAAAGGGUGCGUAGGCGGCCUUAUAAGUCAGUGCUGAAAUAUCCCGGCUCAACCGGGAGGGUGGCAUUGAUACUGUAGGGCUUGAGUAAAGUUGAGGUAGGCGGAAUUGACGGUGUAGCGGUGAAAUGCUUAGAUAUCGUCAAGAACACCGAUAGUGAAGACAGCUUACUAAACUUUAACUGACGCUGAGGCACGAAAGUGUGGGGAUCAAAC
rnacentral:rRNA from 1 species